GCGCGCCCGGUCUCCCGGAGGGGCUCACAGCGGGACGCAGAUACGCUGGCGGGUCCGUGUGUCUGUCCCCCAAGUCCCGGGCCCGGAGCGGGUGGAGGCCCGGGUCGCCCAGCGCCAGCGGCGAGGACCACGGAGCGAGGCGCCCAUGCACUGUCCUCGCGAGACUUUGAUCUCAGCGUCAGCUUCCGCGUUUCCAUGGCUUUCUGUACGCGAACACAUGCUCGGGCUCCUCGUUUCCUAGACCAGACCCGGAGUCAGCGCUCAGUCCAGAGACACGGUGCAGACUGGCGGACCCAGCGCCCGGCGAGUGGUGCUCCCGCUGUUUCCAGGCCUCUCAUGUGGGUGAACCUGGGGGACCCAAGGACCUGGCCUUGCUGCGCACACCUCUGCCCUGAGCGGGCCCUGGUCUCUCCCCUGGUGAGAUAAGUUGCAGCAUGGAUGAGAACCUCCCUUCCUUUCUUGUCUCAGGAUCACCUAGUUUUUACCUAAGGUUUUCAGCCUUCGUCUCAUUUCCUUCUUCCCACAGCCAGCAUCUUUGGUCCCAGCGCAGCCUGGACGGUAGAACCAGGAUGUGCAUAAUCACUCCGUGGUUUUCUCUUGAGUCAUCAGGCCGGCAGUCUGAGAACAGCAAAGCCACUCAGGACCACCAGCAGCAUCACUGGAAACAAAUGCCCGGACCUUGCAGAGCAGCCAGAGGGCCGGGGCCCCAGCUGACGCCAGGUCCGGGGAAGCAGAGCCUGAGACAAGGACUCAGAUGUGGCAGAGGAGGCAGUGAGAGAUGUCAGAGGAGUCAGACAGAGCCAUCCAGGCACAUUCAACCGCACGGGACGCUGAGAGCCGUUUGGGGGAUGCCUGGUGUCCGCACCCUCCCAUGUGAAUGCGGUGUGAGCCAUGUGCGUCCAGCAACGCAUGGCCUCUGCAUGGGCAGCCUCCGGGGGGCCCUGUCACCCUACUUGCUGGUCCGAGGUGCUGUCCCUGCCCUACCUGAGCCGUCCUCGGCCUGGACCCUGCAGAGCAAAGAGGAGCUGUCUUGGGCAUACACAGAAUUACAGUAGAGUUACAGUAUGUAAACGACAAGGCUUCCUUUUUAAAAGUAAUUUUU
rnacentral:lncRNA from 1 species